AGGGAUCAUUACCGAGUUCAUGCCCUCACGGGUAGAUCUCCCACCCUAUGUUAUAUUACCUUUGUUGCUUUGGCGGGCCGUCAGGCUUCGGUCAGGCUACCGGCCCCGGCUGGUAAGCGCCCGCCAGAGAACCCUAAACUCUGAAUGUUAGUGUCGUCUGAGUACUAUCUAAUAGUUAAAACUUUCAACAACGGAUCUCUUGGUUCUGGCAUCGAUGAAGAACCCGACGAUACUUCUGAGUGUUCUAAGCGAACUGUUAAAACUUUCAACAACGGAUCUCUUGGCUCCA
rnacentral:misc_RNA from 1 species